AAAAUAAAAAUAAAAAUAAAAAAGGGGUUAAACCCUAAAAACUGAAGCGCCCUGGGUUAGGGGUUUCAUGUCAAUGGGUCUCAGAGGAAUAACUUACUGACCAUUCUCAACAUGGGUGCGAAAGGCGCAGUGAAGAGUUUGGAACCUGAGCUGAAUGAUGAACAAGAGGAAGAAGAAACCGGUAGGAGCACGACUUCUAAAUCUAGGACUCAAGCGAGAGCGCAGAUGAAGCAACUAGAUAGACUUAAGGAAAAGGUCAGAGGCUCUUGCUCUUGCUCAAGAUGUAUUUUUGUUAUCUUUUAAAUCUUAAUUUCCUUAUAUAGAGCAUUUGUUCUUUUGGGUUCCAUAGUUGCACAGGUAUGUGAAUCAUGAAACCUACU